rnacentral:misc_RNA from 1 species
AAAAACAUCAAGCCUGGCUUGGUCUUGGGUGGGGUCUCCGGACCCGCCUGUAACCGGUUGGCGGCACCGUCCGGCUUCAAGCGUAGCAAGUCAAACCCUCGCUUUGGAGCCUGGUCGGGACCGGCCUGGAUGCCUCUAGA